AAUAGAAGGUCUCGCCUGCCCUGUGACCAUGAGUUUAACGGCCGCGGUAUUUUGACCGUGCAAAGGUAGCGCAAUCACUUGUCUUUUAAAUGAAGACCUGUAUGAAUGGCAUAACGAGGGCUUAACUGUCUCCCUUUUCCAGUCAAUGAAAUUGAUCUCCCCGUGCAGAAGCGGGGAUUAAAACAUAAGACGAGAAGACCCUAUGGAGCUUUAGACAAAGAGCAGACCAUGUUAAACACACCUAAAUAAAGGACAAAACCAAUUGGCCCCUGCCCUUAUGUCUUUGGUUGGGGCGACCGCGGGGAAACAAAAAACCCCCAUGUGGACUGAAGACAUUCCUCUUCACAACCAAGAGCCACAGCUCUAAGCAACAGAACAUCUGACCAACAAGAUCCGGCACUAAGCCGAUCAACGGACCGAGUUACCCUAGGGAUAACAGCGCAAUCUCCUUUUAGAGCCCCCAUCGACAAGGAGGUUUACGACCUCGAUGUUGGAUCAGGACAUCCUAAUGGUGCAGCCGCUANUAAGGGUUCGUUUGUUCAACGAUUAAAGUUC
rnacentral:rRNA from 1 species